UAAGCAUAUCACUGAGCGCAGGAGAAGAAACUAACCAGGAUUUCCCUAGUAACGGCGAGCGAACCGGAAAGAGCCCAGCUUGAAAAUCGUGGCGCCCCGGCGCCUCGAAUUGUAGUCUGGAGAAGGUCCCUCUGCGGCGCGCCGGAUUCAAGUUCCCUGGAAUGGGACGUCCGAGAGGGUGAGAACCCCGUCGUAUCCGGAGUGCGUCGCUCCACGAGGACCUGUCUGCGAGUCGGGCUGUUUGGGAAUGCAGCCCUAAGCGGGUGGUAAAUUCCAUCCAAGGCUAAAUAUUGGCAAGAGACCGAUAGCGAACAAGUACCGCGAGGGAAAGAUGAAAAGGACUUUGAAAAGAGAGUUAAAAAGUGCUUGAAAUUGCUGGGAGGGAAGCGAAUGGAAGCUGCGGGUGCGCCCCGGUUGGAUGUGGAACGGCCGUCAGACGCUGGUCCGCCACUCAACGCGGGGCGCUGGUCAGCGUGGGCCAUCGCGGCGGGACAAGAGCGGGGAUUCGCUUCCCGCCGAUGCCGCCGCGGUGGCCGAGGAACGAAGCGCGCGCCUUCCGGUGUGGGACUCGUCCCAACUGCGCGCUCGAGACGCUGGCGUAUUGAGCUCUUCAUCCGACCCGUCUUGAAACACGGACCAAGGAGUCUAACAUGUAUGCGAGCCGGUGGGCGGCAAACCCAUUGAGGCGCAAGUAACCUGACAGGUGGGACCCCGCUUGCGGGAGCACCAUCGACCGACCGUGAUCUUCUGUGAAGGGUUC
rnacentral:rRNA from 1 species